CUCGCCACGGUGCUGUGGAAUUCUCUGGUUUUUCACGCAAGGUCAGGCGUCCUGCUGGCGCCCUCUCGCCACCCUGCCCUCCCGUCAGAAGCCCGGCUCCUCGCCGGGGAAGGCCGGAUGCUGGCCCGCCGGGACCUGGGACUUGUGCCACAUGGAGUGUCGGGAGUCUCCAUUGCCGCGAGUUCUACACCACAGGGCCAGGCUGUUUGCUCCCCAUCGGUCGCUGCCCCCAGCACCCUGUUGUUAUUAAGGACUCAUUUGCUUGGAGCGGCAUCAUUACAAGGCACCAGAUACUGCUACACCAUCUCAUCGGCAUGGACCUAUAUGUGGCAGCAAGUCCAUCUCAUCGCUUUUGGUGAAAGUCAGUCCAGUUUGUAAAGAUUCUCAUUGUCACUGUAGACGAGGAACUGGGACACCAAAAGGAGAAACUCUGGCCACGCUUGCACCCUGUUCCCAAUCCUGGUCCAGUGUCACCCACAGAUGGUAAGGAGCUCUAGAGACCUCACCAGCCCCUGGGAUUGGUCACCUCACUCUUCUAUGGACAGAGAUUCCUGCU
ensembl:lncRNA LINC01140 long intergenic non-protein coding RNA 1140